GCUGUUAUGGCAGAGAGAAAUAAGCAAGUUGGCCGGUCGACAGGAUUUAGGUAGAGGUAAAGUGUGGAAUGAGUGUCAGUUACCCAUCAUGCAAUACACACUCGUGUCACUUCCGGAUCAUUGUUCUGUAAAGGGGAAACCCUCAUCAUGGCGGCUGAUGGUGAACCUGUGUAUUGUUUAUGUCGCCUGCCUUAUGAUGAUACGCGGUUUAUGAUCGAAUGUGACGUCUGCAAUGACUGGUUUCAUGGAAAUUGUGUGGUGUCCCAGA